GACGAACGCUGGCGGCGCGCCUAACACAUGCAAGUCGAACGAGCGAGCGAGACUUUGCUUUCUCGAGAGAGUGGCGCACGUGUGUGUAACGCGUGAGGCACCUGCCUCAAAGUGGGGUACACCAGUUGGACACGACUGCUUAUACCGCAUAAGCCCACGGCUCGGCAUCGGGCGGGGGGAAAAGGAGCAAUCCGCUAUGAGAUGGCCGCGCUUUCGAUUAGUUAGUUGGUGAGGUGACGGCCAACCCAGGCGAGGAUCGGUAGCCGGACUGGGUGGCGGAACGGCCACAUUGGGACUGAGACACAGCCCAGAACCCGACGCAAGGCAGCAGUAGGGAAUAUUGCACAAGGAAGCAUACCGUAAUGCAGCGACGCCGGGUAGAACGAGAAUGGCUUCGGAUUGUAAACUCCGGUUGUAAGAGAAGAAAAUGACGGUACCCAACAAGGAAGUGACGGCUAACUACGUG
rnacentral:rRNA from 1 species